CACACAUGGCCGAGGACAGAAACACUGAGUGGGAAUGCAAACACUGACUGACCAAACAAAGAGGGUCAUUGUGGAAACAGGUGCUAUCUGCACUGCACUUUGGCCCCUUUUACGAUCUCUUAUUGACGACCAAUGGUGAGGUGAUACCUGGUGGGAGGAGCUGGGACCAAUCGCCACAUCCGGGGCAGCUGGGAUAUGAAAAGGCUCACCAGUGUGCUCAUGGCCCUCUCUUGCUCCAGACACAUUUUCCCUUUGUUAGACAUUUUGGCUUUUUGUUUUCUUUAUUUUACACCAUACAACACCCACCUCACCAUACCUUCCACUUUGUCCACUCACCUAAACUACUGAUCAACUGACUGCCACUUACAAAUCAAAGUGCUGUAGAGAUUUUGGUUGAAUGAAAGUUUUUGUAAUAAAUUAUAAAUCUUUCCCUUGA